rnacentral:rRNA from 1 species
AUUGAACGCUGGCGGCAUGCUUUACACAUGCAAGUCGAACGGUAACAGGUUAAGCUGACGAGUGGCGAACGGGUGAGUAAUGCGUCGGAACGUGCCCGAUCGUGGGGGAUAACGCAGCGAAAGCUGCGCUAAUACCGCAUACGAUCUGAGGAUGAAAGCGGGGGACCGUAAGGCCUCGCGCGAUCGGAGCGGCCGAUGUCAGAUUAGGUAGUUGGUGGGGUAAAGGCUCACCAAGCCGACGAUCUGUAGCUGGUCUGAGAGGACGACCAGCCACACUGGGACUGAGACACGGCCCAGACUCCUACGGGAGGCAGCAGUGGGAAAUUUUGGACAAUGGGCGAAAGCCUGAUCCAGCAAUGCCGGGUGCAGGAAGAAGGCCUUCGGGUUGUAAACCGCUUUUGUACGGAGCGAAAAGGCUCUCUCUAAUACAGGGGGCUCAUGACGGUACCGUAAGAAUAAGCACCGGCUAACUACGUGCCAGCCGCCGCCGUAACAC